rnacentral:rRNA from 1 species
UACGGAGGGUGCAAGCGUUUAUCCGGAUUUACUGGGUUUAAAGGGUGCGUAGGUGGGUCUGUAAGUCAGUGGUGAAAUCUUCGAGCUUAACUCGGAAACUGCCAUUGAUACUAUAGGUCUUGAAUCAUCUGGAGGUGAGCGGAAUAUGUCAUGUAGCGGUGAAAUGCUUAGAUAUGACAUAGAACACCGAUUGCGAAGGCAGCUCACUACGGAUGUAUUGACACUGAGGCACGAAAAGCGUGGGGGAUCAAAACAGG